UACGUAGGAGGCGAGCGUUGUCCGGAAUUACUGGGUGUAAAGAGCGCGUAGGUGGGAGGCCAAGUCUGUGGUGAAAGCGCCCGGCUCAACUGGGCAUGGUCCAUGGAAACUGGUCACCUGGAGGACGGUAGAGGCGAGUGGAAUUCCCGGUGUAGUGGUGAAAUGCGCAGAUAUCAGGAAGAACACCCGUGGCGAAGGCGGCUCUCUGGAACGCAACUGACGCUGAGACGCGAAAGCGUGGGGAGCGAACAGG
rnacentral:rRNA from 1 species